rnacentral:rRNA from 1 species
GGGGAAUAUUGCACAAUGGGGGGAACCCUGAUGCAGCAACGCCGCGUGAGUGAAGAAGUGAUUCGUUAUGUAAAGCUCUAUCAGCAGGGAAGAAAAUGACGGUACCUGAGUAAGCAGCCCCGGCUAACUACGUGCCAGCAGCCGCGGUAAUACGUAGGGGGCAAGCGUUAUCCGGAUUUACUGGGUGUAAAGGGAGCGUAGACGGCCACGCAAGUCUGAAGUGAAAUGCCAGUGCUCAACACUGGAACUGCUUUGGAAACUGCUUGGCUGGAGUGCAGGAGAGGUAAGUGGAAUUCCUAGUGUAGCGGUGAAAUGCGUAGAUAUUAGGAGGAACACCAGUGGCGAAGGCGGCUUGCUGGACGACAACUGACGCUGAGGCGCGAAAGCGUGGGGAGCAAACAGG